rnacentral:rRNA from 1 species
CCUACGGGAGGCAGCAGUGGGGAAUUUUGGACAAUGGGCGCAAGCCUGAUCCAGCCAUGCCGCGUGAGUGAAGAGGGCCUUCGGGUUGUAAGGCUCUUUCAGACGGAAAGAAAUCGCACGAUCCAAUACAUCGUGUGGAUGACGGUACCGUAAGAAGAAGCACCGGCUAACUACGUGCCAGCAGCCGCGGUAAUACGUAGGGUGCGAGCGUUAAUCGGAAUUACUGGGCGUAAAGCGUGCGCAGGCGGUUUCGUAAGACAGAUGUGAAAUCCCCGGGCUUAACCUGGGAACUGCAUUUGUGACUGCGAGACUAGAGUGUAGCAGAGGGGGGUAGAAUUCCACGUGUAGCAGUGAAAUGCGUAGAGAUGUGGAGGAAUACCGAUGGCGAAGGCAGCCCCCUGGGCUAACACUGACGCUCAUGCACGAAAGCGUGGGGAGCAAACAGGAUUAGAUACCCUGGUAGUCCACGCCCUAAACGAUGUCAACUAGGUGUUGGGGAAGGAGACUUCUUUAGUACCGCAGCUAACGCGUGAAGUUGACCGCCUGGGGAGUACGGUCGCAAGAUUAAAACUCAAAGGAAUUGACGG